UCAUUUCAACAGUGUAUAUACUAACAUUGGAAUUAGAAGGGAAGAUUGGUGUGGCCCCUGCCCAAGGAUGACAUGCAAAUUCAUGAAAUUUUUUAAGAUUUU
ensembl:snRNA U6 U6 spliceosomal RNA